rnacentral:rRNA from 1 species
AAAAAAGGUAAGCUACUAAGAGCGAAUGGUGGAUGCCUUGACUGGUAAAGGCGAUGAAGGACGUACUAGACUGCGAUAAGCUACGGGGAGCUGUCAAGAAGCUUUGAUCCGUAGAUUUCCGAAUGGGGCAACCCAAUGUAUAGAGAUAUACAUUACCUAUAUAGGAGCGAACGAGGGGAAUUGAAACAUCUUAGUACCCUCAGGAAAAGAAAUCAAUAGAGAUUGCGUCAGUAGCGGCGAGCGAAAGCGCAAGAGGGCAAACCCAGUGCUUGCACUGGGGGUUGUAGGACUGCAAUGUGCAAGAGGUGAGUUUAGCAGAACAUUCUGGAAAGUAUAGCCAUAGAGGGUGAUAGUCCCGUAUGCGAAAAACAAACCUUAGCUAGCAGUAUCCUGAGUAGGGCGGGACACGAGAAAUCCUGUCUGAAGCUGGGUCGACCACGAUCCAACCCUAAAUACUAAUACCAGAUCGAUAGUGCACAAGUACCGUGAGGGAAAGGUGAAAAGAACUGAGGUGAUCAGAGUGAAAUAGAACCUGAAACCAUUUGCUUACAAUCAUUCAGAGCACUAUGUAGCAAUACAGUGUGAUGGACUGCCUUUUGCAUAAUGAGCCUGCGAGUUGUGGUGUCUGGCAAGGUUAAGCAAACGCGAAGCCGUAGCGAAAGCGAGUCUGAAUAGGGCGCUUAGUCAGAUGCUGCAGACCCGAAACGAAGUGAUCUAUCCAUGAGCAAGUUGAAGCUAGUGUAAGAACUAGUGGAGGACUGAACCCAUAGGCGUUGAAAAGCCCCGGGAUGACUUGUGGAUAGGGGUGAAAGGCCAAUCAAACUUCGUGAUAGCUGGUUCUCUCCGAAAUAUAUUUAGGUAUAGCGUUGUGUCGUAAUAUAAGGGGGUAGAGCACUGAAUGGGCUAGGGCAUACACCAAUGUACCAAACCCUAUCAAACUCCGAAUACCUUAUAUGUAAUCACAGCAGUCAGGCGGCGAGUGAUAAAAUCCGUCGUCAAGAGGGAAACAACCCAGACUACCAGCUAAGGUCCCUAAAUCUUACUUAAGUGGAAAACGAUGUGAAGUUACUUAAACAACCAGGAGGUUGGCUUAGAAGCAGCCAUCCUUUAAAGAAAGCGUAAUAGCUCACUGGUCUAGUGAUUUUGCGCGGAAAAUAUAACGGGGCUAAAGUAAGUACCGAAGCUGUAGACUUGAUUUUAUCAAGUGGUAGGAGAGCGUUCUAUUUGCGCCGAAGGUAUACCGGUAAGGAGUGCUGGAGCGAAUAGAAGUGAGCAUGCAGGCAUGAGUAGCGAUAAUUAAUGUGAGAAUCAUUAACGCCGUAAACCCAAGGUUUCCUACGCGAUGCUCGUCAUCGUAGGGUUAGUCGGGUCCUAAGUCGAGUCCGAAAGGGGUAGACGAUGGCAAAUUGGUUAAUAUUCCAAUACCAACAUUAGUGUGCGAUGGAAGGACGCUUAGGGCUAAGGGGGCUAGCGGAUGGAAGUGCUAGUCUAAGGUCGUAGGAGGUUAUACAGGCAAAUCCGUAUAACAAUACUCCGAGAACUGAAAGGCUUUUUGAAGUCUUCGGAUGGAUAGAAGAACCCCUGAUGCCGUCGAGCCAAGAAAAGUUUCUAAGUUUAGCUAAUGUUGCCCGUACCGUAAACCGACACAGGUGGGUGGGAUGAGUAUUCUAAGGCGCGUGGAAGAACUCUCUUUAAGGAACUCUGCAAAAUAGCACCGUAUCUUCGGUAUAAGGUGUGGUUCGCUUCGUAUUAGGAUUUACUCCGAAAGCGAAGAAACUUACAACAAAGAGUCCCUCCCGACUGUUUACCAAAAACACAGCACUCUGCUAACUCGUAAGAGGAUGUAUAGGGUGUGACGCCUGCCCGGUGCUCGAAGGUUAAUUGAUGGGGUUAGCAUUAGCGAAGCUCUUGAUCGAAGCCCGAGUAAACGGCGGCCGUAACUAUAACGGUCCUAAGGUAGCGAAAUUCCUUGUCGGUUAAAUACCGACCUGCAUGAAUGGCGUAACGAGAUGGGAGCUGUCUCAAAGAGGGAUCCAGUGAAAUUGUAGUGGAGGUGAAAAUUCCUCCUACCCGCGGCAAGACGGAAAGACCCCGUGGACCUUUACUACAGCUUGACACUGCUAUUUGGAUAAGAAUGUGCAGGAUAGGUGGGAGGCUUUGAGUAUAUGACGCCAGUUGUAUAUGAGCCAUUGUUGAGAUACCACUCUUUCUUAUUUGGGUAGCUAACCAGCUUGAGUUAUCCUCAAGUGGGACAAUGUCUGGUGGGUAGUUUGACUGGGGCGGUCGCCUCCCAAAUAAUAACGGAGGCUUACAAAGGUUGGCUCAGAACGGUUGGAAAUCGUUCGUAGAGUAUAAAGGUAUAAGCCAGCUUAACUGCAAGACAUACAAGUCAAGCAGAGACGAAAGUCGGUCUUAGUGAUCCGGUGGUUCUGUGUGGAAGGGCCAUCGCUCAAAGGAUAAAAGGUACCCCGGGGAUAACAGGCUGAUCUCCCCCAAGAGCUCACAUCGACGGGGAGGUUUGGCACCUCGAUGUCGGCUCAUCGCAUCCUGGGGCUGGAGCAGGUCCCAAGGGUAUGGCUGUUCGCCAUUUAAAGCGGUACGCGAGCUGGGUUCAGAACGUCGUGAGACAGUUCGGUCCCUAUCUGCCGUGGGCGUAAGAAGAUUGAAGAGAUUUGACCCUAGUACGAGAGGACCGGGUUGAACAAACCACUGGUGUAGCUGUUGUUCUGCCAAGAGCAUCGCAGCGUAGCUAAGUUUGGAAAGGAUAAACGCUGAAAGCAUCUAAGCGUGAAGCCAACUCUAAGAUGAAUCUUCUCUAAGCUCUCUAGAAGACUACUAGUUUGAUAGGCUGGGUGUGUAAUGGAUGAAAGUCCUUUAGCUGACCAGUACUAAUAGAGCGUUUGGCUUAUCUUUAAUAAAGCAU